ensembl:lncRNA
AGCAACCUUGAACAGGCAACAAGGAAUGCGGCAACAGCCAAAUACCUCCAACGAGUAAGGCAAGUCUUAAGAAGCCAGCUCAAUGGCAAGAACAAAUCCCGGGCAAUAAACAGCUACGCUCUGCCAGUGAUCAGAUACCCUGCAGGAAUAAUAAGGUGGCCAAAGGAAGAGAUACAGACCACAGAUGUUAAGACACGAAAGCUCCUCACCAUGCAUGGAGGGUUCCACCCCAAAUCCAGCACCCUGAGACUGUACGCUAGUCGCAAGGAAGGAGGCCGAGGACUAGUGAGCGUGAGAGCCACUAUCCAGGAUGAAACAUCCAAGCUCCAUAAGUACAUCAAGGAUAAGGCCCCGACAGACGACGUGCUGGGUGAAUGUCUCAGGCAGUGGAGAACAGAGGAUGAGGUGCUGGAAGAGGGACCAUCAUGGGAGGACAAGCCCUUACACGGGAUGUACCACCGGAACAUAACUGAAGUGGCUGAUCUCAACAAAUCCUACCAAUGGCUUGAAAGGGCUGGGCUGAAGGACAGCACAGAGGCACUCAUCCUGGCUGCACAGGAGCAGGCCCUGAGCACCAGAGCCAUAGAGGCCCAGAUCUACCACACCAGACAAGACCCAAGGUGUAGACUGUGCAAAGAGGUCCCUGAGACGAUCCAGCACAUAACUGCAGGGUGUAAGUUGCUGGCAGGGAAAGCAUACAUGGAACGCCAUAACCAAGUGGCUGGCAUAGUAUACAGGAACAUCUGCGCGGAGUAUGGACUGGAAACCCCAAGGUCAAAGUGGGAAACACCUCCCAAGGUGGUAGAGAACGAGCGAGCCAAGAUCCUGUGGGACUUCCAGAUACAGACAGACAGAAUGGUAAUGGCGAACCAACCAGACAUUGUGGUGGUGGACAAAGAGCAGAGGAAAGCCGUAGUGGUGGAUGUGGCAAUACCAAGCGAUGGCAACAUCAGGAAAAAGGAACAUGAGAAACUAGAAAAAUACCAAGGGCUCAGAGAAGAACUGGAGAAGGCUUGGAAGGUGAAGGCCACAGUGGUGCCUGUGGUGAUCGGAGCACUAGGGGCUGUGACCCCCAAACUGGAGGAGUGGCUACGACAGAUCCCUGGAAAAACAUCCGAAAUCUCAGUCCAGAAAAGUGCAGUCCUAGGAACAGCAAGGAUACUGCGCAGAACCCUCAAGCUCCCUGGCCUCUGGUAGAGGACCCGAGCUUGGAAAGUGGAUGAGACCACCCGCGGAGGAGAAUAGAGUGUGUGUAUAUAUAUAUAUAUAUAGUUUCACUGGGGCUGGGGGUGGAAAUCCAUGUUGCAGUGUGGAACCUUCAGAGGAAGUGUCCAGGGAGAGGGGAGUCCGUU